GCGCGUCGAUUAGUAUGUACGCGGUGUAGUGACAGCCCAGAUGUAAUGAAGUCGUGGGCUUCACGACACUGGGGGCGACAACG
rnacentral:pre_miRNA from 1 species